GACGAACCGUGCGAACGUUGUUCGGAAUCACUGGGCUUAAAGGGCGCGUAGGCGGGCGAUCAAGUCAGGGGUGAAAUCCUGCGGCUUAACCGUAGAAGAGCCUUUGAUACUGGCUGUCUAGAGGGAGAUAGGGGCAUGUGGAACUUCCGGUGGAGCGGUGAAAUGCGUAGAUAUCGGAAGGAACGCCGGUGGCGAAAGCGACGUGCUGGAUCUCUUCUGACGCUGAGGCGCGAAAGCUAGGGGAGCAAACGGG
rnacentral:rRNA from 1 species